rnacentral:misc_RNA from 1 species
AGAAAAAUCCUUGGUUCAAUCAACUUUUUCACUCUCUUGACAGUUUGACUGUCACUGAGAUCAAUGAGCCUGAACGACAGUGGCACUGCCCUGCAUGCAAAGGUGGUCCAGGCGCAAUUGAAUGGUUUACAGGGUUGCAAUCAUUGAUGACCCAUGCAAAAACGAAAGGAUUAAGGGUUAAAAUACACAGAGAACUUGCUGAACUUUUGGAGGAAGAUCUUCGUCAGAGAGGUACUUCUGUUGUACCUCCAGGUGAAGUGUAUGGGAGAUGGGGUGGCAUGGAAUUUAAAGAUAAAGAAAUUGUGUGGCCACCAAUGGUGAUUAUCAUGAACACAAGGCUUGAUAAAGAUGAAAACGAUAAGUGGAUUGGAAUGGGGAAUCAGGAGCUGCUUGAGUAUUUUAGCUCUUAUGCUGCUGUCAAGGCUCGACAUUCAUACGGUCCACAAGGCCAUCGUGGCAUGAGUUUGUUGAUUUUUGAGGCCUCUGCAGUGGGAUACAUUGAGGCUGAUCGUCUCAGUGAGCAUUUUUCUGAAAAUGGAAGAAAUAGAGAUGCAUGGGAACGUCGUUCAGCCCGCUUUUAUCCUGGGGGGAAACGUCUGCUCUAUGGUUACAUGGCAGAUAAAAAAGACAUAGAUAACUUCAAUCAGCAUUCAGCUGGGAAAUCAAAGUUGAAGUUUGAGAUGCGGUCAUACAAAGAAGCUGUUUGGAAUCCAGCCAAACAGAUGAGGGAAGAUAAUCAACAACUAAUAUGGUUCAAGAACAAAGCUGCUAAACACCAAAUGCAGGCUAAAGCUCUUGAAGAGUCUCUCAGUUUGGUGAGUGAAAAACACCGUCAGACAUUGGAAGAGAACAAGAUAGUCAGAUUGAAAACAAAGAUGCACCAUGAACAGAUCAAGGAAGAGAUGGAGUUUCAAGAACAGUUCUUCAAGGAUCAGAUCAAAAUAAUUCAUGAUGCCAGGACUGCCAGGGAGGACAAUUUUGAAAAGACACAGCAGGAGCAGCGUGAGAUGGUUAAACAAUCUAAUGCCAAUACUGCCUCGGUUGAGGAUCAUCGGGUCAGGGCAGAGAAAGUUGCCAAAUUUAUCAAACUCCAGGACAAGGAAAUGGAGGAGUUUGUGGAAGAGAGGGAGAAUCUGAUGCGAACUCAUGACGAUAGGAUAGCUGCAUUGAGACGCAAAUACUGGGAAGAGGAGGUUGAACUUGAAAGGAAAUUUGACCUUGAACUGUCUAAACUGAUGGAGAAGUACUCUCCGAAGCAAUCAGAUGAGGUCAAUAGCAGUGGCACCAUGUGACCUAUAUUCUUAUAGUAUUCAAAUAUCAUAGGCGCACUUUAAAUUGCUGAUGAACUUAGGAUGUAUGACUUCAAACAUGACAUGUGAGGAAGGCCCUUAUCUUAAUAGUCAAGCUGGGUAGUUGCAAGAAAAUGAGGUUUCGUGCUGCACAAACUUUUUUUCAUAUCCUGGUCUGACCAUGAGUCGUGAUGACUAUUGAUGCUAUUCAGAUAUUGUAAAACCUGUCUAGCACCCUCUAUUUGAUCACUUAAAUUGUGACUGAUCUGAUCACAACUUGUGUUAGGAUACGAGAGUGCUUGUACAAGCUACUUUUGUGCAUU